AACGAACGCUGGCGGCAGGCUUAACACAUGCAAGUCGAACGCCCCGCAAGGGGAGUGGCGGACGGGUGAGUAACACGUGGGAACGUGCCUUUAGGUUCGGAAUAACUCAGGGAAACUUGUGCUAAUACCGAAUGUGCCCUUAGGGGGAAAGAUUUAUCGCCUUUAGAGCGGCCCGCGUCUGAUUAGCUAGUUGGUAAGGUAAAGGCUCACCAAGGCUACGAUCAGUAGCUGGUCUGAGAGGAUGACCAGCCACAUUGGGACUGAGACACGGCCCAAACUCCUACGGGAGGCAGCAGUGGGGAAUCUUGCGCAAUGGGCGAAAGCCUGACGCAGCCAUGCCGCGUGGAUGAUGAAGGUCUUAGGAUUGUAAAAUCCUUUCACCGGUGAAGAUAAUGACUGUAGCCGGAGAAGAAGCCCCGGCUAACUUCGUGCCAGCCGCCGCAGUAAGAC
rnacentral:rRNA from 1 species